rnacentral:lncRNA from 1 species
UCAAAUGAAAAAUGUUAAAUUUGAAUUUGAAGGUUUAUGUGGCAAUUUGACACUUUGUAAAAAAUUUAACUUCACUCAAAAUGCCAAAUAUCAUAUUAUUUUAUUAUAUUUUUAAAAAAAACAAAUGAGGCCCAUUUGAUGCAUAAAGUUUUAAAAGAGAGUGAAUGAUAAUGGAAUUCAUGACCAAAAAAAAUAUUAAAAAUAUAUUUAACAUCAAACUUUUUGAUAUAUUAUUUUUGACAUAUCUCUUUCAGUCCUCAAUUGAAGCAACUUUAACUUUUAAUUUUUAUUAUUUUAUAUUCAUGUGAUAAUUUUACAUAUUUCGGAGAUACUCUUUAGUCCAGAGGUUACAUUUGCAACUUUAUUAGCUUGCUUAUUGGUCUGACACAAAAUUGCUGCUCAAAUCUAAAGGGAUAUGGGUUGGUGGUUUUUUUUUUUUUUUUUUCUCGGUAACCAAGAGGAUCCCCAAUGGCAUGGAAAUAGACAAAUAAAAUGCAAUAGUGUUGGCUCCAUUGAAGAGAAGCAAACUACCGACACUCAAAAUGUUGUUGUAGUGACAAAUGGACCUUCAUAUGGAGGGCAGGAGAGGGCCCUGAAAAUAAUGAAGCAUACCACUCCCAUGAGGUUACAAAAGCUUAACUAAGGCAAAUUAGUUUAUUUUCUUCUUUUCUUAAGGAAUAUUUCAAUGGAUCUGAUCUUCUUUUCUAUGUAAUGUAAGAGAAAAAAAU